rnacentral:rRNA from 1 species
UACGUAGGGCGCAAGCGUUAUCCGGAAUUAUUGGGCGUAAAGAGCUCGUAGGCGGCUUGUCGCGUCGAAUGUGAAAUCUCAGGGCUCAACUCUGACAUUGCAUUCGAUACGGGCAGGCUAGAGUUCGGUAGGGGAGACUGGAAUUCCUGGUGUAGCGGUGGAAUGCGCAGAUAUCAGGAGGAACACCGAUGGCGAAGGCAGAUCUCUGGGCCGUAACUGACGCUGAGGAGCGGAAAGCGUGGGGGAGCGAACAGG